rnacentral:rRNA from 1 species
GAUUAACGUUGGCAGUGUGCCUAAUACAUGCAAGUCGAGCGGCAGCACGGUCUUCGGACUGGUGGCGAGCGGCGGACGGCUGAGUAACGCGUGGGAACGUGCCCCAAAGUGAGGGAUAACUCCGGGAAACCGGAGCUAAUACCGCAUAUGAUCUUCGGAUUAAAGUAUUUAUACGCUUUGGGAGCGGCCUGCGUACGAUUAGAUUGUUGGUGAGGUAAAGGCUCACCAAGUCGACGAUCGUUAGCUGGUCUGAGAGGAUGAUCAGCCAGACUGGGGCUGAGACACGGCCCAGACUCCUACGGGAGGCAGCAGUGGGGAAUUUUGGACAAUGGGCGCAAGCCUGAUCCAGCCAUGCCGCGUGCAGGAUGAAGGCCUUCGGGUUGUAAACUGCUUUUGUACGGAACGAAAAGGUUUGGCCUAAUACGCUGAACUCAUGACGGUACCGUAAGAAUAAGCACCGGCUAACUACGUGCCAGCCGCCGCCGUAA